ACAAGACCGACGCACUGGAGGCCAAACACAUAAACGAUUAUAAAGGUCGUGGAGUGUUUGCCUUAAUUCCUUUUAUUAAAGGAGAUUUUGUUGUCGAAUAUAGGGGUGAAAUGAUCACCUUAAUUGAAGCCGAACAAAGAAGAGAGGCCAAUCAAGAAUUUUUUUUUAUGUUUGACUUCAUCUGGCAGAACAAGAAGUGGAGCAUUGAUGCAACUCAUGAGGAUGGCACCCUUGGCCGCCUUAUAAAUGAUGAUCACAUAAACCCAAAUUGUACAAUGAAAAGGAUUAUCGUUGAGGGAAAACCCUGUUUGUGCCUAUUCGCUGCAAGAGAUAUCAUUCCUGGAGAGGAACUCACAUAUGACUAUGGAGGAAGUCACUGGCCUUGGAGAAAGCCUCCAUGCAAUGAUGAUGACAACAUGACAGCCAUAGAGAACUGCUCUGAGGAUUCUGUAACUACUGCAGGCACUUCACGAUUCACAGCUGAG